UUUACUGUCUCUUACUUCCAAUCCGUGAAAUUGACCUUCCCGUGAAGAGGCGGGAAUACAACAAUAAGACGAGAAGACCCUAUGGAGCUUUAAUUAACCGACCCAAAGAGACCCAUUAAUUUAACCGACAGGAACAACAAACCUCUGUAUGGGCCGACAAUUUAGGUUGGGGUGACCUCGGAGAACAGAACAACCUCCGAGUGAUUUAAAUCAAGACUAACCAGUCAAAAGUAUUACAUCACUUAUUGAUCCAAAAGUUUGAUCAACGGAACAAGUUACCCUAGGGAUAACAGCGCAAUCCUAUUUCAGAGUCCAUAUCGACAAUAGGGUUU
rnacentral:rRNA from 1 species